UCAUACAAUAAUUUACUUGCUCAUAUAAUCUAAAGAAUAUGGCUUUAGAAGUUUCUACCGUGUUGCCUUAAACGACAUGACUAUGAGUAGCUAUAAAAUAUAC
rnacentral:ncRNA from 2 species